CCUACGGGAGGCAGCAGUAAGGAAUAUUGGUCAAUGGAGGCAACUCUGAACCAGCCAUGCCGCGUGCAGGAAGACGGCCCUAUGGGUUGUAAACUGCUUUUGAACUAGAGAAAACCUUGGUACGUGUACCGAGUUGAUAGUAUAGUUAGAAUAAGCAUCGGCUAACUUCGUGCCAGCAGCCGCGGUAAGACGAAGGAUGCAAGCGUUAUCCGGAUUCAUUGGGUUUAAAGGGUGCGUAGGCGGACUGAUAAGUCAGUGGUGAAAUCUCUCAGCUUAACUGAGAAACUGCCAUUGAUACUGUUAGUCUAGAGUACAGAUGAUGUGGGCGGAAUAUGACAUGUAGUGGUGAAAUACUUAGAUAUGUCAUAGAACACCGAUUGCGAAGGCAGCUCACAAAACUGUAAACUGACGCUGAGGCACGAAAGUGCGGGGAUCAAACAGGAUUAGAUACCCUGGUAGUCCGCACCGUAAACGAUGAUUACUCGUUGUUGGCGAUAUGAGAGUGAGCGACCGACGACGAAGAACGAGUAAGUUAAGUUACGUACCGUUACGGGGUUAGGUACGGCCGGGCCGGACCGGUACGGAACCGUUAACCGAAACGGAAAGUUAGGACGGACGGUUGGAGGACGGUUACGGCCGACGGACCGGACCGAACCGAACGGGGAAGGUAGGUAG
rnacentral:rRNA from 1 species